rnacentral:rRNA from 1 species
UGUAAACCUCUGUCACCGGGGACGAAUAUUGACGGUACCCGGAGAGGAAGCCACGGCUAACUACGUGCCAGCAGCCGCGGUAAUACGUAGGUGGCGAGCGUUAUUCGGAUUUACUGGGCGUAAAGGGUCCGUAGGGGGUUUGGCAAGUCCGGUGUGAAAGCCCGCGGCUCAACCGCGGAACUGCACUGGAGACUGCCGGACUAGAGUGCGCGAGAGGAAAGCGGAAUUCCGGGUGUAGCGGUGGAAUGCGUAGAUAUCCGGAAGAACACCGGCGGCGAAGGCGGCUUUCUGGUGCGUCACUGACCCUGAGGGACGAAAGCGUGGGUAGCAAACAGGAUUAGAUACCCUGGUAGUCCACGCCGUAAACGUUGUGCGCUCGAUGCGGGAUCGGCCGUUCCGGCCGUUUCCGUGUCCCAGCCAACGCGUUAAGCGCACCGCCUGGGGACUACGGUCGCAAGGCUAAAACUCGAAGGAAUUGACGGGGGCCCGCACAAGCGGUGGAGCAUGUGGCUUAAUUCGAGGCAACGCGAAGAACCUUACCUGGGCUUGACAUCGAGCGACCGGCGCGGAGACGCGCCUUUCCUUCGGGACGCGAAGACA